rnacentral:rRNA from 1 species
UACGAAGGGGGCUAGCGUUGUUCGGAUUUACUGGGCGUAAAGCGCACGUAGGCGGAUCGAUCAGUCAGGGGUGAAAUCCCAGAGCUCAACUCUGGAACUGCCUUUGAUACUGUCGAUCUGGAGUAUGGAAGAGGUGAGUGGAAUUCCGAGUGUAGAGGUGAAAUUCGUAGAUAUUCGGAGGAACACCAGUGGCGAAGGCG